GGUCUAAUGGCCGGGUUGGUACGGCCUAGCGAUGUCAAACUCCAGCGUUGUUCAGCGUUAGUAUACUUACUCAAUAUCUUUACUCCGCAUCGUUAGGCGUCGGGGGUUCGAUUCCCCCGUUGGCCA